UCGUUAGUCACAAGGAGAAACUGAGGCCCAGGGCUACAUAGAGGGUCAGUGACAGCACUAGAACAUAACAUACACCAGACCUCUCCAAUCCCAGUCUGAAGCCAGUCCACUGAACCGAGGGGCGAUGAUGUCACCAACGCCUUUCCCUUCUGCUUAAUAAGCUCUACACCCAAAGCGGGGCUUGAACUCAUCGCUCUGGGAUCAAAAGUGGUAUGCUAUACUGCGCCAGCGAGGGGCCUGCAAAAUUUUCCCUUUAUCCAGUAGAUGAAUCUGCUCUGGAGCAAGAUAUAAUCAGUUUAUUAUAAAAGAGACAUGGAAAUUAUUUAUAUGAUGAAAGAUUCCAGAACUUCAGUGGAAUGGGCAGCUUCAUCUGAAAAUCAUUUCAAUAAUGACUUAUUUCAGUCUACGUACUUUCCGAGAAUGUCACCAUCUUUAAAUAAGAAGUAAUCCUUAUCAUCUA